GAUACUUUACGUUGUCCUGUUCUCUUUGGUGACAGAAAGCAAACACAACAAGGAGCCCUCACCUUACCCAUGAAGACAAAGAGCCAGACCUUACACGCAUAAAGGGCAGGAGGAAGCAGAACUGGUGUC
rnacentral:lncRNA from 1 species